GAACAGUCGACCUCGAAUCAGGUAGGGUUACCCGCU
rnacentral:rRNA from 1 species